GACGAACGCUGGCGGCGUGCCUAAUACAUGCAAGUAGAACGCUGAAGGAGGAGCUUGCUCUUCUGGAUGAGUUGCGAACGGGUGAGUAACGCGUAGGUAACCUGCCUGGUAGCGGGGGAUAACUAUUGGAAACGAUAGCUAAUACCGCAUAACAGUAGAUGUUGCAUGACAUUUGCUUAAAAGGUGCAAUUGCACCACUACCAGAUGGACCUGCGUUGUAUUAGCUAGUUGGUGGGGUAACGGCUCACCAAGGCGACGAUACAUAGCCGACCUGAGAGGGUGAUCGGCCACACUGGGACUGAGACACGGCCCAGACUCCUACGGGAGGCAGCAGUAGGGAAUCUUCGGCAAUGGACGGAAGUCUGACCGAGCAACGCCGCGUGAGUGAAGAAGGUUGUCGGAUCGUAAAGCUCGGUUGUAAGAGAAGAACGAGUGUGAGAGUGGAAAGUUCACACUGUGACGGUAUCUGACCAGAAAGGGACGGCUAACUACGUG
rnacentral:rRNA from 1 species